GAUGAAGAACGUAGCGAAAUGCGAUAAGUAAUGUGAAUUGCAGAAUUCAGUGAAUCAUCGAAUCUUUGAACGCACAUUGCGCCCGCCAGUAUUCUGGCGGGCAUGCCUGUUCGAGCGUCAUUUCAUCCAUCAAGCCCUGCUUGCGUUGGGGUCCUGCGGCUGCCCGCAGGCCCUGAAAACCAGUGGCGGGCUCGCUAGUCACACCGAGCGCAGUAAUACAUCUCGCUUUGGGCGUGCGGCGGGUUCUUGCCGUUAAACACCCCCUUUUUACCAAGGUUGACCUCGGAUCAGGUAGGAAUACCCGCUGAACUUAAGCAUAUCAAUAAGCGGAGGA
rnacentral:misc_RNA from 1 species